rnacentral:rRNA from 1 species
AACGAACGCUGGCGGCAGGCCUAACACAUGCAAGUCGAACGCUCUCUUCGGAGGGAGUGGCAGACGGGUGAGUAACGCGUGGGAAUCUACCCAGCUCUACGGAAUAACGCAUGGAAACGUGUGCUAAUACCGUAUACGCCCCAUGGGGAAGAUUUAUCGGAGUUGGAUGAGCCCGCGUCUGAUUAGCUAGUUGGUGAGGUAAUGGCUCACCAAGGCGACGAUCAGUAGCUGGUCUGAGAGGAUGACCAGCCACACUGGGACUGAGACACGGCCCAGACUCCUACGGGAGGCAGCAGUGGGGAAUAUUGGACAAUGGGCGCAAGCCUGAUCCAGCCAUGCCGCGUGAGUGAUGACGGCCUUAGGGUUGUAAAGCUCUUUCACCGGUGAAGAUAAUGACGGUAACCGGAGAAGAAGCCCCGGCUAACUUCGUG